UGGCUGCCUAUGCUUACACUAGCCAAAACUCAUCAUCACAGAGAGGAUUAGCCAUGGUGUUGGCUCUAGCCUCAGCAAUAGUGCUAUCACCAUUGUAUUUAAAUCGAAGAAAUGAUUCGCAUUUUUUCAAUACAAAAUGGAGCUCUGGAUUUGUUCUUCCAAUGGUUCUUGCUGGACUAAUAAUCGCCAUUAGAACUACGUCGACAUCAUCAGUCCAAAACGGUGGUAGAGCUUCAUUGACCCCUUCUUCAGAUCCUUCUUGGGUGCUUAGAAUUGGAAGCUCAUCUUGGGGACUUGCUGGGAUCCUGGUGAUGCUCAUGCUUGUGCUUUCAUGGCAAGAAUCUGUCCAAGAAUUCUUCUGGAGAUAGACAAAAAUAAAGAAAUUGAUCUUCUUUCUAUCAUAUAUAGGUGUGUUGUGUGAUUAUUUCCAGUAACUAGCCAUAUACAAUAAUGUAGAAUUAAUGGUGGUAGUAAUUAAAAAUUUUGUUAUGUUCUCUUUUGUAUUAAUGAAAGCAAACAUAACCAAAUUUUUAAU
rnacentral:misc_RNA from 1 species